UACGAAGGGUGCUAGCGUUGUUCGGAAUCACUGGGCGUAAAGCGCGCGUAGGCGGCUUAGCAAGUCAGGGGUGAAAUCCCACAGCUUAACUGUGGAACUGCCUUUGAAACUGCUAAGCUAGAGUGUCGGAGGGGAUGGCGGAAUUCCGUAAUGUAGAGGUGAAAUUCGUAGAUAUUAGGAGGAACACCGGUGGCGAAGGCGACUCACUGGACACGUAUUGACGCUGAGGUGCGAAAGCGUGGGGAGCAAACAGGG
rnacentral:rRNA from 1 species